CGGUUCCCGUACGAUAACCGAAGUUAAGCAAAGUCGAACCUGCUCAGUACCUAGAUGGGUGACCUCUUAAGAAUACCAGGUGAUGUAAG